rnacentral:rRNA from 1 species
AGAGUUUGAUCCUGGCUCAGGAUGAACGCUGGCGGCGUGCCUAAUACAUGCAAGUCGAGCGAACGGACGAGAAGCUUGCUUCUCUGAUGUUAGCGGCGGACGGGUGAGUAACACGUGGAUAACCUACCUAUAAGACCGGGAUAACUUCGGGAAACCGGAGCUAAUACCGGAUAAUAUUUCGAACCGCAUGGUUCAAAAGUGAAAGACGGUCUUACUGUCACUUAUAGAUGGAUCCGCGCUGCAUUAGCUAGUUGGUAAGGUAACGGCUUACCAAGGCAACGAUGCAUAGCCGACCUGAGAGGGUGAUCGGCCACACUGGAACUGAGACACGGUCCAGACUCCUACGGGAGGCAGCAGUAGGGAAUCUUCCGCAAUGGGCGAAAGCCUGACGGAGCAACGCCGCGUGAGUGAUGAAGGUCUUCGGAUCGUAAAACUCUGUUAUUAGGGAAGAACAUAUGUGUAAGUAACUGUGCACAUCUUGACGGUACCUAAUCAGAAAGCCACGGCUAACUACGUGCCAGCAGCCGCGGUAAUACGUAGGUGGCAAGCGUUAUCCGGAAUUAUUGGGCGUAAAGCGCGCGUAGGCGGUUUUUUAAGUCUGAUGUGAAAGCCCACGGCUCAACCGUGGAGGGUCAUUGGAAACUGGAAAACUUGAGUGCAGAAGAGGAAAGUGGAAUUCCAUGUGUAGCGGUGAAAUGCGCAGAGAUAUGGAGGAACACCAGUGGCGAAGGCGACUUUCUGGUCUGUAACUGACGCUGAUGUGCGAAAGCGUGGGGAUCAAACAGGAUUAGAUACCCUGGUAGUCCACGCCGUAAACGAUGAGUGCUAAGUGUUAGGGGGUUUCCGCCCCUUAGUGCUGCAGCUAACGCAUUAAGCACUCCGCCUGGGGAGUACGACCGCAAGGUUGAAACUCAAAGGAAUUGACGGGGACCCGCACAAGCGGUGGAGCAUGUGGUUUAAUUCGAAGCAACGCGAAGAACCUUACCAAAUCUUGACAUCCUUUGACAACUCUAGAGAUAGAGCCUUCCCCUUCGGGGGACAAAGUGACAGGUGGUGCAUGGUUGUCGUCAGCUCGUGUCGUGAGAUGUUGGGUUAAGUCCCGCAACGAGCGCAACCCUUAAGCUUAGUUGCCAUCAUUAAGUUGGGCACUCUAAGUUGACUGCCGGUGACAAACCGGAGGAAGGUGGGGAUGACGUCAAAUCAUCAUGCCCCUUAUGAUUUGGGCUACACACGUGCUACAAUGGACAAUACAAAGGGCAGCGAAACCGCGAGGUCAAGCAAAUCCCAUAAAGUUGUUCUCAGUUCGGAUUGUAGUCUGCAACUCGACUACAUGAAGCUGGAAUCGCUAGUAAUCGUAGAUCAGCAUGCUACGGUGAAUACGUUCCCGGGUCUUGUACACACCGCCCGUCACACCACGAGAGUUUGUAACACCCGAAGCCGGUGGAGUAACCUUUUAGGAGCUAGCCGUCGAAGGUGGGACAAAUGAUUGGGGUGAAGUCGUAACAAGGUAGCCGUAUCGGAAGGUGCGGCUGGAUCACCU